ACCGAACGAACGAAAAAAACAACCAAAGAGGUAGACCGUAUGCUAUGGAAAACACUGUCCAUGUCCAUAUAUGCGUAUGAAUAUAUCGCUUGUCUUUUUUUUUUUUUUUUUGGGGGUCAAUUUUUCCUUUUUUUU
rnacentral:ribozyme from 1 species